GUGGGUAUAGCUCAGUGGAAAGGUGCUUACUUAGCAUGCAUGAGGUCCUGGGUUCAAUCCCCAGUACUUCCA
rnacentral:tRNA from 1 species